rnacentral:lncRNA from 1 species
CUACAACUAGAACAUAGGAAGUUCUGUACAAAUAUGUGCAAGAACUUUACAGUAAAGGUGACGGAGCACUGGCACAGGCUGCCCAGAGGUGGUGGAGUCUCCUUCUGUGGAGAUAUUCCAGGCCCAUCUGGACACCCAUCUGUGUGACCUAUUGUAGGGUAGUGCUUUAGAGACUUGGACUCAGCUAUCUCUUAAGGUCCCUUCCAACCCCUGCAAUUCUGUGGUUCUGUGAUUUGUGUUUUUACUUUUCUGUAUGGAUGCAACAGCUUUGUCAGUUCUAGUAAACAAAGCAAAACAAAGCAAAACAAAAACCACCCUUCCCAGCACUGAGGACCUAAGCUGCCAAGGUGGGGCACAUUUGAAGAUGUGAAGAUGGAAGCUGAGUGAACUGUAGCCACAAAUGGCAGAUUCAGAAUGUACCGAGAUACCAUUCCUUUGCUCUGUGCCAUAUGAAGUUGUAAGACAUGUAUCACAUUAUCCUUCUAUUGCGUGAGCUAAAAAGUGAGAGGUUCCAGAGCAGCAGUUCUCACUUCCAUUUAUAUUCUCAUCAAAACAUCUGAGAAGAUAACACAGAUGCAGUGGUAGCAUUUUGUAUUUAGGGCAGCCUUUAAUAUCAGGUUAGAGAGCAGAAUUUUUAAUGAGUCAAGGUGAAGAGCAGCCCACAGUAAAAGAAAUCUCCAUUUCUUUUUGGCAGUGUCAGCCCACGGGAGCUCAGCUGCAAGCAAUGAAGCUGAGUGACCAGGAGGGCUGGAGUCAGGAUCUACCCCUUCCCAGACCUCAUUUAAGGGUUGGCAGUGGAAAGUCCUCAUGCUGUAUGAUGGCAUGCAAUGCAAUGCAGCAGAUGUACUGCAGUAACACCAGAGCACCUUCUGGGAAGAAACCUGACCAAUGUGCCACGCUUACAAGAAAUAUGCAAAGAAAGAGUACAAGAAUUAAUGCACAACUCAAGGCAUGUCUGUGAUAUGCAAAGCAGCACAGAGAAGUAACAUCUGGGAAAGAAUCAAACGAACUCAUUCCAGAAAUGAAGCUGUUACAGCUGCAUUAGCCCAGGGUUGAGCCCAGGACAGCUGGCUAGCUGAGAGGCAGAGCUAGUCAUCCUGGGAUGAAAUCCAGUCCACUGAAAUCCCACUUUUUUCACAGACAGCAAAUCAGUCCACAUAUUUUUCUGGACUGCUCAUUAUAAAUCUCUCUAAAUUCAUUAAAGACGCCUUUAUUUCAUAGGAGGUAUUUUCCAGGUUUUUCCCUUAAAUGCUUGAGUCAAACUCUGCUGUGAUCAAAGUUCUAGUCCAGAUCCUAUACCAUUUUGUCUCCACUUAAUUCUUCUAGAAAGGUCUUUAAAGUUAGAGUUAGUGAGAACAAGAAUGUGGCACCAGUCAUUUUAUUCCUAGGAGUCCAAAAGCUACAGGAAAGUGAGCUCAGAUUUUACACGCUGCUUGCAUCAGAACACCACAAAGUUAUUUUAUCUGGUCAGUUGUGGAGCCAAGCAUACAGGAGAUAAAAAGAAGUCAAAAAAAAAAAAAAAAAAAAAAAAAGAAAAGAAAGAAAAAGAAAAAAAAAGACAAGAAUCUAGAGAGGAAGAACAGGACCAUUGGAUCCUGCUCCUUGUAACAUUGACUAUGUGACUGGUAUAUUCCUGAAAGCAUGUAGUUUAUCUUCAUGGGGGAAAGGGAGCCCACCAUGUGCUUGGCCUUGACUUUAUGUUCAGAGAACUUCUGUAGGCAAAAGGGAAUGAAACUCCCUUGGGGUUGUGUAGAACCCAGGACCAGGAUCUUGGGGAGACCCUCAGAUAUGAGGUCUUUAUUACAUAAAAUCUAGACUUGUGACUCCAUUUUAUAUUUUGUGUUCACCAUGAGAGCGUGGAUCUGGAUUCCACACUGAUGUCAUCACCUACAAUUUGCUUUUACUUCGAGCUCUCAGGGGAAGAUGCACAGUAAAGAGAAAUGGGUCCUUAGAAGUAUUUAUCUCUCUCUGUUAACUGUGCAUUGACCACUAUAGCUAAGUGGUCUCUACUUGUAUGUCCCCCCACUCCGAGUUACAACUUGGAGAGACCUCUGCUCAAAGAAGGAGACUAUACCAGGUCUGAGUAACAAGAAUGUUUUCAUCUGUUAAAAAUACAGAGGAAAAAGCACCUAGUAAAUUCAAAAGUGUGAAUAUUAAAAAUAGAACAGGAAAGAACUUUCAAUUAUUUCUCAUGGUUGCUCCUGAGUUUUAGUCUGUUAUCUUUGCUACCUGAGCUUCAUGCAGAAAUAAGAU